GACGAACGCUGGCGGCGUGCUUAACACAUGCAAGUCGAACGGAAAGGCCCUGCUUUUGUGGGGUGCUCGAGUGGCGAACGGGUGAGUAACACGUGAGUAACCUGCCCUUGACUUUGGGAUAACUUCAGGAAACUGGGGCUAAUACCGGAUAGGAGCUCCUGCUGCAUGGUGGGGGUUGGAAAGUUUCGGCGGUUGGGGAUGGACUCGCGGCUUAUCAGCGUGUUGGUGGGGUAGUGGCUUACCAAGGCUUUGACGGGUAGCCGGCCUGAGAGGGUGACCGGCCACAUUGGUACUGAGAUACGGCCCAGACUCCUACGGGAGGCAGCAGUGGGGAAUAUUGCACAAUGGGCGGAAGCCUGAUGCAGCAACGCCGCGUGCGGGAUGACGGCCUUCGGGUUGUAAACCGCUUUCGCCUGUGACGAAGCGUGAGUGACGGUAAUGGGUAAAGAAGCACCGGCUAACUACGUG
rnacentral:rRNA from 1 species